CUGCAGUAGCUCAGUUUUGCGGAAUACUUCCUAUGUGCCAGGCACUGGUGUAAAUGCUUACACACACACACACACACACACACACACACACAUACCAGUUACAGGUAGGGGAGAAGACAGGGACAAAGAUCCUGAGAUACUAAUAAGCCUGGCAGUUUGAGGAAUUGAAAGAGGUCAGUGUACUAAGAGCAGUCAUGCUUUUUCUCUUCACAGCCAGCCAGUGAGGAAGGUAUUGUCAUUAUCCCCAUGUCGCAGAUAAGGAACUGAGGCCUACAGAGGGUAAUAAUUGGCCCAAGAUCACACCGCGGUUCCAAAAUCCAAAAGACAUCCAUGGAAGGGCAUUGAAAGGUUGCAUAACCUACAAAGUAUACCCCCAACAUCUCCAAAGAUGGAAGGGAAAAUAGAAGUGAGACCAGCAAGAGAGAGAGAGAGAGAGAAAGUGAUAAUGGUGAUUUUCAACUUAAAAAGGUGUGGAUCCCAAGAGCACUCAUGAAGCUCCUUCUCAGGAUUCGCAUCUAGUGACUCCAGCCCAAGAUGGUAGGCACCGUGAUGGGUCACAAGCACAACACUGAGAUGGGAUUUUGGAGCUGACCACCAUCUCCUGGCUGCCGGUGAGGAUGCUGUCCAUGGUAGGUGGAAAUACAGGGGAGACAGUAAUCGUAAUGACAGUGAAUUAUCUGGCUCUGCUGAUGCCCUGGAAAAAGGUAGCAGAAAGCUGAAAUAAAUCAACAGUUAAAUGCUGAGUGAGAAAGCCAGAGGGCCUCCCUGGAAAC
rnacentral:lncRNA from 1 species